rnacentral:misc_RNA from 1 species
GAUGAAGAACGCAGCGAAAUACGAUAAGUAGUGUGAAUUGCAGAAUUCAGUGAAUCAUCGAAUCUUUGAACGCACAUUGCGCCCAUUGGUAUUCCAAUGGGCAUGCCUGUUCGAGCGUCAUUUGUACCCUCAAGCCUUGCUUGGUGUUGGGUGUUUGUCCUCUAGGACUCGCCUUAAAACAAUUGGCAGCCGGCAUAUUGGUUUCGGAGCGCAGCACAAAUUGCGGUCCUUCCAUGAAUGUCGGCAUCCAUGAAGCCCCCAUUUUCCACUUUUGACCUCGGAUCAGGUAGGGAUACCCGCUGAACUUAAGCAUAUCAAUAAGCGGAGGA